AGUGGGAAUAUCUUACAGCGUGCUGCCUCAUGCAGACAUGAGGCAGAGGUUGGACUGUAAAAGUUAGUCCAGCCUGCACCAAGGGCAGCACUUCACUACCCUGCCCAAAAUGCUGCUCAGGCAUCAGAUUUGCCCUUUAAGCCUGGUGCCUCUCCUCCAACCACACGCACACUUAUGGUCUCCUGACAUGUUUUAAUUAUUAAACAACUCUUAACUGCUUUGCCCCUCUCUGUCUGGUUACAAUGAGCACGUGAGCAAGGAGGGACAGGCAGGCUUUCAGCAUCCUUACCCGUUCUUCUCUUCCCUCCCUACAUGGCAGGGAAAGACAAGACCUGUCCUUCCUUCUGUCGCAUGUUCUCUGCGGGGUCCCGUAGUGUGAGUAGGCCCUUAUUUGCAUGAAGUCAUUUACAAAGAAGGAAUAAGAGACUAUCAUCUGGAUUUAGCUCCUUCCAUCUGCACUCAGCAGGCAGCCUUGGCUCCUUUACCGGCAAAUGCACACCUUUGCCUAUACAUUGGUCCUAUCCUAACCCCAUUACCACUGGUUCCUGUGCAAAUCUUGUGAAUAAAGCAAGACAACCCAUCUCAGAGUAGAAAACUAUACCCAGAGUAGAAAAUAGAUGCCCUAAAAGUAGAAAGUCUGGGCGUUCCUGCUCAGCAUUCCAAACUUUUCACUUUUACUAUAUGAUUAACAUUACUCUAUUGGAGUGACUUCUUCCCUGGGCACAGAAGACAGCCUCAUGCUGCUGCACAGAGCUUCUUCAGUUAUUUGGGCACUGGGCUGCUCUCUCGAAGUGUGGUUCCACAAAGCACCAAGCAUGCUUUUAAAUGCUCUAAAGGAAGGACCGUGAGCUUUCCCCAUCCAUGCCUGGGAGAGACAAGCACAUUCCUCACCUCGCUGAGGGUAAGUUGUGUGUGUUUAGGUGUCUCAGAGACCCAGUUUUAAAAGCAAGCUCAUAAAUGCUUGUAUGGCUCCUGAAAAAAUGGAGCAUAGGCUCCUGACCAAAGUACGUGAAGAACUUCUGGGCAAGAUUAAGAUUUCUGACUGACAAAAAAAAAACCUCAAAACCUCAAAACCACACAAUCCCCAAACCGCUCAUGGAAAAAAUUGUUUCCAUGUGACUGAUUUUACUUUCAACAUUGUCAAGACCUCUCUGUUGCAGUGAAUUUUAGGUAAAACACCCUCUAUUUU